rnacentral:rRNA from 1 species
GAUGAACGCUAGCGGCAGGCUUAAUACAUGCAAGUCGAACGGUAACAUGAGUAGCAAUACUUGAUGACGAGUGGCGCACGGGUGCGUAACGCGUAUGCAAUCUACCUUCAACUGGUGAAUAGCCCGAAGAAAUUCGGAUUAAUACACCAUAGUAUAUUAGAGUGGCAUCACUUUAAUAUUAAAACUCCGGUGGUUGAAGAUGAGCAUGCGUGACAUUAGCUAGUUGGCGAGGUAAUGGCUCACCAAGGCUACGAUGUCUAGGGGAUCUGAGAGGAUUAA